rnacentral:rRNA from 1 species
GACGAACGCUGGCGGCGUGCUUAACACAUGCAAGUCGAACGGAAAGGCCCUGCUCUUGCGGGGUGCUCGAGUGGCGAACGGGUGAGUAACACGUGAGUAACCUGCCCCUGACUUUGGGAUAACAUCUGGAAAAUGGGGCUAUUACCGCAUAGGAGCUUUUGCUGCAUGUUGGGGGUAGGAAAGUUUCGGGGGUUGGGGAUGGACUCGCUGGUUAUCAGCUUGUUGGGGGGGUAGUGGAGUACCAAGGGUUUGAAGGGUAGCCGGCCUGAGAGGGUGACCAGCCACAUUGGGACUGAGGUACGGCCCAGAAUCCUACGGGAGGCAGCAGUGGGGAAUAUUGCGCAAUGGGCGGGAGCCUGAUGCAGCAACGCCGCGUGCGGGAUGACGGCCUUCGGGUUGUAAACCGCUUUCGCCUGUGACGAAGCGUGAGUGACGGUAAUGGGUAAAGAAGCACCGGCUAACUACGUG